rnacentral:rRNA from 1 species
GUGUCAGCAGCCGCGGUAAGACGUAGGGGGCGAGCGUUGUCCGGAUUUAUUGGGCGUAAAGCGCGCGUAGGCGGCCGCGCAAGUCGGAUGUGAAAACCCGGGGCUCAACCCCGGGCGUGCAUUCGAUACUGCGCGGCUCGAGACAGGUAGGGGAGAUCGGAAUUCCUGGUGUAGCGGUGAAAUGCGCAGAUAUCAGGAGGAACACCGGUGGCGAAGGCGGAUCUCUGGGCCUGUUCUGACGCUGAGGCGCGAAAGCUAGGGGAGCGAACAGGAUUAGAUACCCUGGUAGUCCUAGCCGUAAACGUUGGGUGCUAGGUGUGGGGGGAUAUCGACCCCUUCCGUGCCGAAGCUAACGCAUUAAGCACCCCGCCUGGGGAGUACGGCCGCAAGGCUAAA